rnacentral:hammerhead_ribozyme from 1 species
AUUCAGCUGAUGAGUCCCGAAUAGGACGAAAUACACGUCUCGGAU